GUUUUGUGGAAGAUACCUCGCAUCAAAGCCAAUAAGAGAGUAAGUCGUGUACAUAUUCUAUUACAAAGUCAACUAGAUCAGAUCGUUUCUAUGACAAAAGUGGGCUAGCAAGUUAUGUAUUCUGGCCCUCUUGUAGAAUGCGCUAGCAAUGUAGUAUAGGGCCAAUACUUACUUAACAAUGAUGAAAGGGUUUCAAUGAUUAAAGCAAGGGCAGAUCAGGAUACAGAAAUAGUUGAGUUACCGCACCAACCCAGUAACAGAAUUCCACAAGUCAGGAGGUCUAUGUUAUUAAUAAGAUAUGCAUUUCAAGAGCAACUAGGAAAGCAAGAUAGAGUUGGCUUCUCUAGCCCGGAAAGUAAGCUAACGCACUUAGUAUUGUUGGUCCAGUAGCCGGCUACCCAAUAUCAUCUUUCCUUUCUUGCACUGAAGAUCUGAUUGCCCUCACUCCUACUUAGACUAGAAUACUAAUCCGAUACUUAUACUAAUAAUCAUAAGGGAUACGGAGCAGCCCUGCCGC
rnacentral:lncRNA from 1 species